CAAACCUCACUGCCUCCCAGGAGGCUGGUCCUCUUCCCUGGGGUCUCCUAGCUGACCCCCACCCUGAGAUCUGAUGCCAGCUUCCCCUUGGUGGCACUCACCUCUCCUGCCAGCUCUUACCUGGGACGGCAGAAUCCCUCGCUUGCCGAUGCCCGCCAUUGCUGAAAGAAGGUAUUGUUAUUUUCUCCACACUGCCCAGGUUAGGAACGAAGGCGGACCCUGGAUCUUCUUUGAACAGGAGAGAAUGGAAUUAGCAUUCCUUUAAAAUGGCCUGUUAUUAUAGCCGAUUUCUGCUAACAAUUACCUGGCAGUAUAGAGAGAGAUCUGACUCCUUUAGGCUCCUGGAAAUUUGCCUCACCAUGAUGUGCUGGUUUCUGCCGUACAACAACGCAAGUCAGCCGUAAUUAUACACCUGUCCCCUCCCUCUCCAGCCGCCAGCAUCUCACCCUCCAGGUCAUCUCAGCGCACUGACCUGAGCUUCCCAUGUUAAAGAAUGACUUCUCAGCAGCUGUCUAUUUACACAUGGGAGUAAGCUGCUUCCACUUGAGCUUACUAGGGAUUUUGACCUCUGAGAUCCAGGACUAAGAAGAGAUGCACGGCUGACGCCCGACAGUGACUCCUCCGUAACAUUCCGUGUCCCUGGCGCUCCACAGCCUCGCCCAAGCUCUGGCUCUAAAUGACACUGUCUUUAUUAAUUUUUCAAAUAACAAAAUGAACAUCGAGUAGUCCCUGUUGAGUGUUCCCUCUGUGUAGGAAAUAUAACUUACAUGUACUUGCUUAUUUUUCCUUGCACAAAAUCCUAUGAAGUAGCAUCAUUCCUAUUUUGCAUACAAGGAAACCAAAACCACGGAGAUGCUAAGAUAAAUAUCCCAAGAUGACUCAUCUGGGAAACGCCAGAUCUAGGAUGUGGACCUGCUGCUCAACUAUUGGUGUCUACAUUUCAACUGGAUACUUCUUCAAAGGCAAUUCUGUCCAUGUGACUCAUAGAACAGUUCUUGGCUGGUUUUCCUACCAGCCAAAUCAGAGACUCUCAAGCUUCAGCCUAAUCAUAGCCCAUGGAAUCCGAAACUAGGAGUCAGCAAAGGUCAAGAAUUUUCAGGGUAGCUGUCCAACGAGAGAAUUUCAAAUAUCAAGCUCCGAGACUGCUCACUCUCAGAAUGGCCUUUUCUAAAAUGUACUGAAUCGAAAAGUUGUUAUUUGUGUGUUGGCCGUGCUGGGUCUUGGUUGCCGUGAGGACUUUGUCUAGUUGCGGUGUCCGUUGUGGUCCGCAGGCUUCUCUUCGCAAAGCAUGGGCUCUGAGAACAGACUUCAGUGGCUGUGGCACAUGGGCACAGAUGCCUCAGGCCACGUGGGAUCUUCCUGGACCAGGUACUGAACCUGCGUUCUCUGCAUUGGCAAGCGGAUUCUUAGCCACUGGACCACCAGGGAAACCCUCAGCAAGGUCUGUUAAGUGACUGAUCCGUUGAUCAAUCCAUUCAACAGCUAAGAGGUUUGAACAUCUCCAAAGCUGCUUACGAUACAAGAACUUCACAGAGGUUCAGCAGCCAGCAAAGCCACCAGAAGAUGUGACGGUUAGUUCUACGUGGGGGCUUGGAGAAGCUGCAGCGCCUGGCUAUUUAAUCAGAUGCUCAUCUAAAUAUUGCUGAGGAGGUAUCGUGUAGGUGUGUUUAACAUUCAUGAACUGUUGGCUUUAAGUAAGGGAGAUUACCUCAGUAAUGUGGGUGGAUCUCAUUCAGGUCGUCAAAGGGGACUUCGGGGCGAAAACUGUCUCCCAGAGAAGAAAAAUCUGCUUCUAGAAUGCAGAAUUCAUCCACACCUGAGCUCCUAGUUUGCUGCCCUGCCCUAUGGAUUCCGGGCUUUCUAGUCCUCGUAAUUACAUGAGCUAAUCCCCGAAACAAAUUUCUUCAUAUAUAUAUAUGAAGUGCUCAGUUGUAUCCAACUCUGUGUGACCCCAUGGACUGUAGCCCUCCAGGCUCCUCUGUCCAUGGAAUUCUCCACACAAGAAUACUGGAGUGGGCUGCCACCUCCUCCUCCAGUGUAUGUCAGGAAAUGUAUACAAAUGCAUAUUUAUGUAUAUGUAUUUGGGCUUCCCUUGUGGCUCAGCUGGUAAAGAACCAUCUGCAAUGAGGGAGACCUGGGUUCGAUCCCUGCAUUGGGAAGGUACCCUGGAGAAGAGAAAGGCUACCACUCCAGGAUUCUGGCCUGGAGAACUCCAUGGAUUGUAUGUCCAUAGGGUCACAAAGAGUCAGACACAACUGAAUGACUUUAUAUAUAUAUGUAUGUAUAUGCUAAGUCACUUCAGUCAUGUCCAACUCUUUGCGACCCUGUGGAUUGUAGCCAGCCAGGCUCCUCUGUCCAUGGGAUCUUCCAGGCAAGAAUACUGGAGUGGGCUGCCAUUUCCUCCUCCAGAGGACCUUCCUGACCCGGGGGUGGAACCCACGUCUCUUAUGGCUCACACACACACACACACAUAUAUGUAUAUACACACAUAUGUGUAUAUGAAGAAAGUGAAAUUGCU
ensembl:lncRNA